rnacentral:rRNA from 1 species
AUUGAACGCUGGCGGCAGGCCUAACACAUGCAAGUCGAGCGAGCGGCGGACGGGUGAGUAAUGUCUGGGAAACUGCCUGAUGGAGGGGGAUAACUACUGGAAACGGUAGCUAAUACCGCAUACCAUCAGAUGUGCCCAGAUGGGAUUAGCUAGUAGGUGGGGGAACGGCUUACCAAGGCGACGAUCCAUAGCUGAUCUGAGAGGAUGACCAGCCACACUGGAACUGAGACACGGUCCAGACUCCUACGGUAGGCAGCAGUAGGGAAUAUUUCACAAUGGGCGAAAGCCUGACGUAGCCAUGCCGCGUGAGUGAUGAAGGCCUGCGGGUUGUAAAGCACUUUUAGUGGGGAAGCGUUACCUACAGAAUAAGCACCGGCUAACUCCGUGCCAGCAGCCGCGGUAAUUC